AUUGAACGCUGGCGGCAGGCCUAACACAUGCAAGUCGAACGAGUGGUGGACGGGUGAGUAAUGUCUGGGAAACUGCCUGAUGGAGGGGGAUAACUACUGGAAACGGUAGCUAAUACCGCAUACCAUCGGACGUGCCCAGAUUGGAUUAGCUAGUUGGUGGGGUAAAGGGCUACCAAGGCGACGAUCCGUAACUGGUCUGAGAGGAUGAUCAAGCACACAGGGACUGAGACACGGUCCAGACGCCUACGGAAGGCGGGAGUGGGGAAUAUUAGACGAAGGGCGAGAGGCUGAUCCAGGCAUACCGCGUGUGUAAAGAAGGUGAUCGGAUUGUAAAACACAUUGAGUUGGGAGGCGUUACCGACAGAAUAAGCGCCGGCUAGCUUGGUGCCAGCAGCCGCGGUAAUUC
rnacentral:rRNA from 1 species